rnacentral:rRNA from 1 species
GAGACCUCAGGUCAGACGGGGUUAC